rnacentral:rRNA from 1 species
AACGAACGCUGGCGGCAGGCUUAACACAUGCAAGUCGAACGCUCCGCAAGGAGAGUGGCAGACGGGUGAGUAACGCGUGGGAACGUGCCUUUUGGUUCGGAACAACUUCGGGAAACUGGAGCUAAUACCGAAUGUGCCCUUCGGGGGAAAGAUUUAUCGCCAAAAGAUCGGCCCGCGUCAGAUUAGCUAGUUGGUGGGGUAAUGGCCUACCAAGGCGACGAUCUGUAGCUGGUCUGAGAGGAUGAUCAGCCACGCUGGGACUGAGACACGGCCCAGACUCCUACGGGAGGCAGCAGUGGGGAAUCUUGGACAAUGGGCGCAAGCCUGAUCCAGCCAUGCCGCGUGAAUGAUGAAGGCCUUAGGGUUGUAAAAUUCUUUCGUCGGGGACGAUAAUGACGGUACCCGAAGAAGAAGCUCCGGCUAACUUCGUGCCAGCAGCCGCGGUAAU